AAAAACAAAGUAUUUUCAGUACAUCUCAAUUACAAUGAGAAGGUCCAAAGACAUAUUGUGGUGUUUUUU
rnacentral:tRNA from 1 species